GGAUGCUUCAAUUUCAAAAAGUGACCAUACUUGGAUAAUCUGUCCACGACCACUAAAAUACAAUCAGCCCCGUGAGAUCAUGGUAAGCCAGUGAUAAAAUCUAGGGCGAUUUCCUCCCAAAUCAUAUUAGGAAUGGGUAGUGGCUGUAGCAGCCCGGCGGCGGAUUGAGCCUCGUAUUUAUGUUGCUGACAAACCAAACAAGCAGCCACAAAUUUCUAGAUUUGUCCCAUCAUCCCUGUCCAAUAAACGCUUGAGGCAAUGCGACGGUAGGUGCGAUAUGCUCCGGAAUGACCACCCGUGGGUGUAGAGUGAAAUUCUGAGAUUAUCUGCUCUAACCACUUAGAAGUAGCAGGAAGCACAAGCCUUCCCUUGAAAUAGAGUCUACCAUGGAUGAGACAAUAAUGAGGGUACUUCUUAGGAUCCUUCCGCAAGUCAGAGAUUAACUGUUGCAGAACCCCAUCGGCCUGAAUUUCUUGGUUGAUUUCUUCCCAUUCCACCCAUAGAGAGCAUGACAUUACUUGGAAUUGAGGGCUGUCAUCCUGUCGGGAUAGUGCGUCGGCAACUUUGUUGGGGUUUCCGGGCUUAUAUUCAAUCUGAAAAUUGUAACCCAUUAGUUUGGAAAUCCAAUGCUGUUGUGCUGGGGUGGUUACCUGUUGGGAGAGCAAGUUGCCUAGGCUUCGUUGAUUGGUACGAACCAAGAAAUUUGGGCCGAUCAAGUAUGGCCUCCAAUGGCGGACAGCUAGGACUUAGGCCAUUAGUUCAUUGUCAUAGGCUGAUCUUCUUGAAGCGGGAUCAAAAGUGCCUUUACUGAAGUAGGCAAUGGGUUUUCCUUGCUGCAUUAGGACAACCCCUAUGCCAGUCCCGGAUGCAUCACACUCAACAACAAAGGGCUUGGUGAAGUCGGGCAUAGCAAGUACAAGAGAUGUGGUGACUGCUUGCUUCAAUGUUUCAAAUGAAUCUUGUGCCAGCGAGUUUUAGGAGAACUUUUGUUGAGACUCUUUCUUCAAAAGUAAAGUGAGUGGCCGAGCCAAACGACCGUAGUUGCGGAUGAACUUCCUAUAGUAUCCUGUGAGUCCCAAGAAUCCCCUAACAGCUUUUACAGACCUUGGGGUUGGCCAUCGGAGAAUACUAGUAACCUUUACUAGAUCCAUGGAAACCCCCUCGCUUGAGAUUAUGUGCCCCAAGUACUCCAUUGAUGACUUGGCAAAGGAACACUUCUUUGGGUUAACAUGUAGUCGAUGCUGCUCUAGAAGGGUAAGAACCAUGGAUAAGUGUUGAAGAUGAGAUUCCCAGUCCUUACUGUAAAUCAGUAUGUCGUCAAAGAAUACUAACACAAAACGAUGAAGGUGAGGGCGGAAUAUGUCAUUCAUAAUAGCUUGGAACGUGGUAGCAGCAUUCAUAAGCCCUAAGGGCAUAACCAAGAACUCGUAGUGUCCUGUGUGUGUUGGAAAAGCUGUCUUAUGAAUGUCAGGUGUUGAAACUCGGAUUUGAAAGAACCCCAAUUUCAAAUCCAGCUUGGUGAAAAAUAGGCGCCAUAAAGUUCAUCUAGCAACUCUUGAACCACUGGAAUUGGAUACUUGUUCGGUACAGUGGCUUUGUUCAAUUGGCGGUAAUCGACGAAAAAAUGCCAACUACCAUCUUUCUUGCCCACUAGCAACACCGGGCUAGAGUAAGGACUGUGACUAGGCUGUAUAAUUCCAGCAGAUAACAUCUCAGAUACUAGCUUCUCAAUUUCGUCUUUCUGCAAAUAGCCAUACCUGUAUGGUUUAACACAAAUCGGUUCCUGCCUGUUUUGAGAGUAAUUUGAUGGUCAGCCAGUCGAUGUGGAGGAAGAGAUCGAAUCUCAUCGAAGACAAUCUAGUGUUUCUCUAGUAACCUGUGCAAUGUCGAUUCUUAUGAAGACGAGAGCUCAUUUGUGUGUAGUGGGGAAAUUUCAGCAUCGACACCCCAAGCAAAACAGAGAAGUCUACGUCCAAUAAUUUGCGGAUGGACUUUAGGGAAGAAGGAGUUCUCAUAAGAGACGGGUCACCCACUAGAGAAACGGUAUGUCCUUCAUGGGUAAACUCCAUAGUCAUCUGAGCCCAAUUGCUCCGUAUAUCACCCAAAGUUUCUAGCCAUGCUAUUUCCAGAAUGAAAUCAACCCCAUGCAAUGGAAAGAUGAAGAAGUUGCCCACAAUUUCAAAUGAACCAAACCGUACCUGAAGUUGACGACACAUACCCGAGGCGGCUACUCGAUUACCGUUCCCGAGGCGAACGUAAUAGACGGGAGUGGGGGUGACUGUAAGUUUGAGCUCUUUGUGGACUUGGGACGAGAUAAAAUUGUGGGUUGCUCCACUAUCCACCAUGAUCACAACCUCCAUAGAAGAGAAAGUACCUUUGAAUUUCAUGGUUUUUGGUUUGGAGAUGCCCCCAAUUGAGUUAAGAGAAAGCUCUAUAUUGGAGAAGUGAGCUUCAUCCCAGGUGACAGGAGGAUCGGUCUCAACGGUAGCAUCCAAUUCGGCCAUCUGGCCUUCAUUCACUGCGGGCUCGUAUUCACUAGCAAUUAGGGCACGAUGGGUGCGAUUGGGACAUUCAUGAAGGGGUGAGUAAGGCUGUUUGCACUUAAAGCAAAGUCCCUUGGCUCUGAGAUUUUGGUAUUCUUGGUGGGAGUAGUGGCAGGUGGCUCUUGGUGGACGAAUGUGGGUGGCUGGUUUUGUAGGUGGUGCGGGUAGAGCUAGAGGGCGUGGUGAGGAAUCUGGUGGUUUGAGGGGUGGGGAUGGAGGUGUUUCACGUUUCUGCAAGGUGAAGGUGUUAGUUGGGUAUUUGGAGUAGCUUGGGCCUGAGGAUUUUGGGCCUAGCCCGAAUUGGGUGGGUAAGUGUUGUUUGGUGGGAGAGAAGUUGAUUUCCCUUUCAAUUUCACGUGCCACCUUCAUCGCGCGACGCAAAUCGACUGUGUUAGGUGAACGCAGACGGAGUCGAAUGUCACAGCGGAGACCAUUGAGGAAAUAUCCUAACAGCUGUGGGUCAGACAAGGAUGGGGCUUGGGCUGCUCGGGAGAUGAACUUGACAAUGAAGGAGGAGACUGUCCCAACCUGUUUGACGGCAGCAAGGAGCUCGUAGGGGUUCUCAGAAUCAUCGCCGCUGAACUGAAUGGCUAUUUCCUCUUUUAACUGGUCCCAAGAGAAAGCAGGCUCGCGCUGCCGAACCCAUCGAAGCCAGUGAAGAGCUUCUCCUUCCAUAGCCACAAGGGCCAAGGGAAUCUUCAUAUCGGGUUCUGAUUGAUGGAGCUCAAAGUAUUGUUCUGCCCGUGCAAUCCAACCUAUCGGGUCAGACCCAUUGAAGGUAGGCAUGUCAACUUUCUUAAUCUGGUCUUGAAUAGAUGUGGGUGUGGAAGGUGUUGUGGCUGGUGGUGUGGGAAUGGUUGUAGUGGGCGCGAUGUUUGGAGGAGGUUGUGGUCGGGAAGAGGUUGGUUUGGGAGAGGAGUCACCGGAUUCUGUUUGGGCCCUGCCGGCAGUGAGAACCGACAUAAGUUGGUCGAACUUGGUUGUGAGAGUGGACAUUUGGUUGGUGAGGGAUGUAAGGUUCUGGGUAUAUUCAGUGUGGAAGGAUGUUUGAGAGUUGUCAAGGGUGGCAAGAUGAGCUUCAAUGGUGGAAAUAUUCCUCUCUAUCUGAUCAAUCCGCGAGUCUUGUCUGGUAUUUGUCAUUGUGGAGAUCGAAGAAAAGGGCAGGUCGAACCAAAUUGAUAGAGUAAGGAACAGUUCCAAUAUCUGUAAAUUAGAUGGCUGAAACAGAAAAGAAAAAAAAA